AUUGAACGCUGGCGGCAUGCCUUACACAUGCAAGUCGAAUGGUAACAGGUUAAGCUGACGAGUGGCGAACGGGUGAGUAAUAUAUCGGAACGUGCCCAGUCGUGGGGGAUAACGUAGCGAAAGCUACGCUAAUACCGCAUACGAUCUACGGAUAAAAGCGGGGGAUCGCAAGACCUCGCGCGAUUGGAGCGGCCGAUAUCAGAUUAGGUUGUUGGUGAGGUAAAAGCUCACCAAGCCUGCGACCUGUAGCUGGUCUGAGAGGACGACCAGCCACACUGGAACUGAGACACGGUCCAGACUCCUACGGGAGGCAGCAGUGGGGAAUUUUGGACAAUAGACGCAAGUCUGAUCCAGCAAUGCCGCGUGCAGGACGAAGGCCUUCGGGUUGUAAACUGCUUUUGUACGGAACGAAACGGUGAGCUCUAAUACAGUUUGCUAAUGACGGUACCGUAAGAAUAAGCACCGGCUAACUACGUGCCAGCAGCCGCGGUAA
rnacentral:rRNA from 1 species